rnacentral:rRNA from 1 species
GGCGAACGGGUGAGUAACACGUGAGCAACCUGCCCCUGACUCUGGCGAUAAGCCCGGGAAACUGGGUCUAAUACCGGAUAUAACCACUGGUCUCAUGAUCGGGUGGUGGAAAGUUUUUCGGUUGGGGAUGGGCUCGCGGCCUAUCAGCUUGUUGGUGGGGUGAUGGCCUAAAGGCGACGACGGGUAACCGGCCUGAGAGGGCGACCGGUCACACUGGGACUGAGACACGGCCCAGACUCCCCUACGGGAGGCAGCAGUGGGGAAUAUUGCGCAAUGGGCGGAAGCCUGACGCAGCGACGCCGCGUGAGGGAUGACGGCCUUCCGGGUUGUAAACCUCUUUCAGCAGGGACGAAGCUAACGUGACGGUACCUGCAGAAGAAGCGCCGGCUAACUACGUGCCAGCAGCCGCGGUAAUACGUAGGGCGCAAGCGUUGUCCGGAAUUAUUGGGCGUAAAGACCUCGUAGGCGGUUUGUCGCGUCUGUCGUGAAAGCCCACGGCUUAACCGUGGGUCUGCGGCUGGAUACGGGCAGUCUAGAGGCAUGGUAGGGGAGAAUGGAAUUCCCGGUGUAGCGGUGAAAUGCGCAGAUAUCGGGAGGAACACCGGUGGCGAAGGCGGUUCU